CCUACGGGAGGCAGCAGUGAGGAAUAUUGGUCAAUGGGCGCGAGCCUGAACCAGCCAAGUAGCGUGAAGGAUGACUGCCCUCCGGGUUGUAAACUUCUUUUAUAAAGGAAUAAAGUGAGGCACGUGUGCCUUUUUGUAUGUACUUUAUGAAUAAGAAUCGGCUAACUCCGUGCCAGCAGCCGCGGUAAUACGGAGGAACCGAGCGUUAUACGGAUUUAUUGGGUUUAAAGGGAGCGUAGAUGGGUUGGUAAGUCAGUUGUGAAAGUUUGCGGCUCAACCGUAAAAUUGCAAUUGAUACUGGCAGCCUUGAGUACAGUUGAGGGAGGCGGAAUUCGUGGUGUAGCGGUGAAAUGCUUAGAUAUCACGAAGAACUCCGAUUGCGAAGGCAGCUUACUAAACUGCCACUGACAUUGAUGCUCGAAAGUGUGGGUAUCAAACAGGAUUAGAUACCCUUGUAGUC
rnacentral:rRNA from 1 species